AGAGGUUGCAAGUUUGAGGCCAUAGCAGAAGUGCUCAUGGCAUGGCCUGUCAGAUUCCAAAAAAUCUGCAAGUUCUGCU
ensembl:ribozyme